GCAAACUGCACUGAAGUGUGGCCAGGAGAGGAGAUUUCAAGGCAACAUCCGCCCCAAACCACAGCGGCAUACAACACAACUGGUUAUGACUUCCCUUUGAAGCUGAGAGGAUUUGAAGCUGGGACACAAUCACUGUGCCAUAAGGUUCCCAAACUUUUACCCAGAGUUCUGGAUUAUUGGUCCAGUGUCACGACCCCCUGCUCCACCUUAUUGAAGUCUUCAAGAGAAAGAGAGUGACUGGUCAUGGACAACUUGCCAGGUGUCUUACUCUGUCUGAAUGAGAAAUGAAAAAAUGACACGAGGCCAGGUAGAGCAACAUCAACUGCAGCAGAAGACAGGGACAAGAGAUGAAUGGAGCUAUUCACCUGGUGUCAGCUGAAUGAAGAGGUUGUACCAUCCUUUCGUCAGCAUCUCAAGCAUAAGACUCCUAUCUCCUGAGCAAGAAGCAUUACAGUGCAGCGGGUAUUAAAAGAAAGGCUUGUGAUUUGUUUUUGUUGCUGUAAAAUCACCAGGUUAAGAAAGAAUUAAA